GUUGAACCUGGGACCUUCUGCUUGCAAGCAGAUGCUCUGCCACUGAUCUACAGCGCCAUCCCCUCCUAAGGGGAAUAUCUUUCAGUGCUCACAGGGAUCUUUUCUGCGACCGACCGAAGCUUCCCCUUCCUGAUGCCUCCUCCAUCCAACAGGGAAGAGGAAGCUGCAGUGAGUCCCCAUCCUCUCCAGAGCUCCACCAAGUCAAUGGACCUGCCUUUGUUUGUGUAGCUGGCCACACAACCCAAGGCCAACAUCCUUCAGCCGGAUAAGGACUCCUCAUAGGUCCUCAAAUCCGGCCUGCUGCAGAGUCAACCCCAGACACGCCUCUCGUGUGAUGCAGGCCUGUGUGCAUUGUUGGGUAAACAGCAGGGGUGUGUAGCCAGGAUCGAAGCUGAGAUUGCGGUGUGGAGGGAGGGAGCCUUUAACUCUACUCUCUGCCAUGGUCACCAUCUGGAUUUCCGUCCCUUCCCAGUGGCUGCGAUCUGGCAUAGGGGAAAUGGCGUUCGUUGGCAUCAGGAUCCGCCCAGGCUGCCUAGCCUCCAGACAUGGUUGGACUACAGAUCCCAUCAGUGGCCAAAGCAUCUCUUAGGAUGGGGACCUGGAGCUGAAGAUUCAUCCGUCCAUCCAUCCAUCCCAUUCUGUCUGUCCCUACAAGCCCAUCUAGCCUCACCCAACCACCAGCUGCAUGGACUGUCCUCAAAAACUCACCCAUCACGACCAAGAGCAACAGCAGCCUGGAGCAAGGAAAUCGUCUUGUUUGUCCUCCCAUCUUCGCGGCCCUCCUUCUCCUUCUCGAAUCUGCCUGCUCUCCAUGGCACUAACUUUUAUAUCCUGGACCUGCUGCGGGAGGAGGAGGCACACUGUGGGACUCCCUGCCCUGCCACACCUCAUCAGGCUUACACAAUCGGGCAUUUUUUUGCAUGUGUAAGAAGCAGGGUUACUCACACUUCUUCAAAAAGCAUUCUACAUGCUUUGGCAAUAUAUUAAUAAUAUUGGUCCUGCUGAUUUGGCAAAAAAGCAAAGAUUAAUUGGA